CAUAACAAGAGUUCCAGCAGAAGAGGACUGACAUUUAGUGGACCUAUGUACUGAUUGCUCUGACCUCCUCUGGUAAACAGGCAUUCUACUGGAACGUGUAAGAUAAUUUUUGCCAUCUGUCAUUUUCUUCUUCUUGAGAAAGGAGAAUUACUGAGAAACAAGAAAAUGACUUUCUUGCAGUUGGGUUAUGGCCAUGUGAAUAAUUCUGGUCAAUGAGAAUGUGAGUGAAACUGAUAUAUAAUUGCUGGUCUGAGGCACUUAAGAAAUAAAGUAAGUUUUCUGUGCUUUCCUAACCUCAUGGCUGGAA
rnacentral:antisense_RNA from 1 species